CUCUCCAACCACUCUUCUUAAGAGAUACAAGGGUACUGAGCAGAUGUUUUAGCUCCCAAUAAAGGACAGAAUACGUUUGCAUGGUCACUGCACAUUCAAACUUGUAACUUUAAACUGAAGGGCUCCCAAACUGCCAAAGAUGAUUCACUCCUCCCUUUAAUUCAAUGACUUACGAAGAACCUAGAGAGAUGGGGCCUGUGGCUGACCUACCAUCUACAGCCUAAUUCUGCUCAGCUUGGGAGAGGAAGAGAUUUCUGUAUGUUCAGGGUUGCGUCAACCCUCCAGGAUCAGCAUCCAUCUCCAGGAAGGAAUCUGGCAGCGAAAAUGACAACAGAAAUCACUGAUUUUUUAAAAGUAGGGAAAUAGUCUAUCUGAUUUUGAAGAAGCAAGAUAGAAAAAGUAUUGAUGCUUUUGAACUUUAGUGCUGAGAAGACUUUUGAGGAUACCACGGACAGCCAGGAAAACAAACAAACGGAUCAUGGAACAAAUCAUUCUAGAAUUUUCACUUGAGGCACAAAUGACCAGGCUCAAACCAUCAUAACUUUGGACACAUGAUGUGAAGACCCAGCUCCUUUGAGAAGUCCAUAAUGCUGGGGAAAGUUGAAGGAAAGAGAAGAAGAGGAAAACCCGCAGCAAGGUGGAUACUCAAUUAGGACAGCAAUGAAUGCACCACUAAGGCCAGAUCAUCCUGGAAGACAGAUCAUCCUGCAGAGAAUCUAUUUAUGUGGUCACUAAGAGUCGACACAGACUUGAUGGCACUUAAUCAAUCAAUCAAUCAAUCAAUCAGGGGAACAGUCAGCAUCAGAACAAAUGUGUUAGCCAAGCAAAUUCUUGUAACACAAGCAGCUAGUUAUUCAGAUACUAUACACAGCCGCUUAAUUUUAUUCCAGUUUGAAGCUUGGUUCAUUGAAAGCUUGUCCUGCACGAUUGGAAUGAAGUAAAUUUCCCCAAUUCCUAAGCAUUCCAGUGAGGCAGAGUGCAAAACUUACCAGUGGGUUGCUUAUAUGUAGCACAUACAUCAGAGAUGCGACACUGGCAUAAACUCAGUUUGUUUUCAUAUUGCCAGGUGAAACUUUUGAGCUGGA